rnacentral:sRNA from 1 species
GCUUUCGGCUCUAAUCUUACAGUAGUCCGUUUUUUUUUUUCAAUUCCCGAUUUUUCAAAAUGUUAAAAUAUCUAUUUCUUAUUUUUUUCAUAUCUUGUAUCAUAGACAAAGCCAAUGCACAAAAUACCGAGUUUUUAAAGGAAAUGAAGUGCGCUGAUUGUACGAGAUUUCAUGAUAAAUGCAAAAUUUUAGAGGAUGCCGAAGGAUUUAGAUGUGAGGAUCCAUCCGAUAAUGCGCUUAUAGCUUUCGCCCCAGGACAAAAUAAGUCGCUUGAACACCUCAGUGACUGCAUGCUCAGGGGCUAUAUUUUCGAACGCGGGUGUAAUGGAUAUAUCAGGGACUUGCUGUUUCUGGUCCAAAAGAACGGGCUGUCAAAUGGUAAUGAAUAAAUACCGCAAUACGUCGUGCAAUAUGUGUGCAGUGUAUGGAAAAAUUGGAUCACCCUAUCGCCCUGGAUGUCCUUGUCAACCGCUUGAACGUUCCAAACAGAUGAUUAGUGCUGCAAGAAGACGUACUUUGAAGUCAUUACCGUUCUUAUUAUUCGCCAGUUGGUUGUCCAUUUUGUCCCUACAUUUUGUAUACUACGAAACGAAAUUUUAGUACAACUUGUAUGCAAUUUUAAAAAAGUAAUACUUUAAUAGAAAAGAAUACGAUUAAAAAUUUGGAAAAUUA